rnacentral:snRNA from 1 species
AGCUUGGUGCAGUGGCCAGUAUCGUAGCCAAUGAGGUUUAUCCGAGGCACGAUUAUUGCUAAUUGAAAACUUUUCCCAAUACCACAUCAUGACAACUUGCAGUAUAGUUUGACAGUCUAUAUGGAGA